UGGCGAACGGGUGAGUAACACGUAGGUAACCUGCCCAUGUGCCCGGGAUAACUUCUGGAAACGACUGCUAAUACCGCAUAAGCCCACGGGUCGGCAUCGACCAGAGGGAAAAGGAGCAAUCCGCUUUGAGAUGGUCUCGCGUCCGAUUAGCUAGUUGGUGAGGUAAUGGCCCACCAAGGCGACGAUCGGUAGCCGGACUGAGAGGUUGAACGGCCACAUUGGGACUGAGACACGGCCCAGACUCCUACGGGAGGCAGCUG
rnacentral:rRNA from 1 species